rnacentral:misc_RNA from 2 species
AGCAGCCGCGGUAAUUCCAGCUCCAAUAGCGUAUAUUAAAGUUGUUGCAGUUAAAAAGCUCGUAGUUGAACUUCAGGCCUGUCCAGACGGUCCGCCUUAAUUGGUGUGUACUGUCCUUGGGUGGGUCCUACCUUCUGGCGAAGCGGCAUGGCCUUAAUUGGUUGUGUCGGGGAACCAGGACUUUUACUGUGAAAAAAUUAGAGUGUUCAAAGCAGGCAAAUAUGCUCGAAUACAUUAGCAUGGAAUAAUGGAAUAGGACGAUGGUUCUAUUUUGUUGGUUCUAGGACCGUUGUAAUGAUUAAUAGGGAUAGUUGGGGGCAUUAGUAUUCAAUUGUCAGAGGUGAAAUUCUUGGAUUUAUUGAAGACUAACUACUGCGAAAGCAUUUGCCAAGGAUGUUUUCAUUAAUCAAGAACGAAAGUUAGGGGAUCGAAGACGAUCAGAUACCGUCGUAGUCUUAACCAUAAACUAUGCCGACUAGGAAUCGGGCGAUGUUGACAAAAUGACUCGCUCGGCACCUCA